rnacentral:rRNA from 1 species
CAUCUUGAGACCACGGUCCAGACUCUAAACGGGAGGCACGUCAGUGGUGGUAAUCUUGCACUAAUGGACCGAAUAGUCUGAUGCAUCUAACGCCGCGUGGGGGAUGAAGCUUCUCGGAGUGUAAACCCCUUUUCGACCCGGAAGAAUGCCCGCAAGGGUUUGACGGUACGGGUAUAAGAAGCCCCGGCUAACUACGUGCCAGCAUGCCGCGGUAAUACGUAGGGGGCCAUGCGUUAGCUCGGAAUUACUGGGCGUACCAGGGUCUGUAGGCGGUGCGGCAAGUCGAUAGUGAAAUCCCUAGGCUUAACCUAGGGGCUGCUAGCGAAAUCUGCCGUGCUAGAGUGUGAGAGAGGCGAGUGGAAUUACGGGUGUAGCGGUGAAAUGCGUAGAUUCCGUAGGAAACAUCCGAGGGCGAAAUGCGGCUCGGCUUGGGAUCACAAAUGACGCUGAGCAGACGGAAAGCUAGGGGAGGCAACACAGGGAUUAGGAUACCCUGGUAGUCCUUAAGCCCUUAAACCAUUCAGGGACCUUUGGGGGGGUU